AAGAGUACUUACGGGAAGAUACAUUGCACAACCUCUCAAGACUCCUUUAUAUGGAUGGCAUUACCACUGCAUCUUUUGACAGGACAGAAUCAAGUAGAAUCCUGUCUUUCCUUCAGAAAGCAAAUCAGGCUAUCGUGUGUUAACAAACUUUAUUGAAUCUUUGACAAAGUUAAGUGACCAAUCCAAAUAGCAACAUUUACCAGAAUCUGAUAAUUCUGCCAAGGAAGCCCGCUUUCAAGUCUGUAAAGUAAUAUGGCUCUCCAGUCAGUUAAAAAGAACACUUACUAAGCGGACACAACUUUUCAAGAGUCCAAUACUAUCCCAACUUUUUUAUGAAUUUUGAUUCUCAAGUUAUGAUGUACAUUAUUGAUGUGUGACUGUGUAUUUAAGUCCCUAGUACUAUUAAUAUUCAUAGCAAAUGAACACCAGAAUUCUUAAAAUAAGCACAAUUAAAAGCUAAUUAUUGAAAUAGAUUGUACUAAAUCGUAAGUUACAAAAGUUAAGGGUUAAAUAAGAAUAUAAAAUAUUUCCGGGGUCAAAACAGAAGUACUCGCACAGAUGUUUCAGUUCUGUCUGAACAAAUUUAACCCAGUUCACAGCUUAAGUCAAAAUCCAAUUUUCGGAUUUGAUCAGUGAUUUGAAAUUCGGAAACGUAAGAAUUUAGGGAGGAAAAAUGGCGGGAACGAAUCAGUCGUGUAUAUUCUGUCAGAUCAUACGUAAUCCAACAUCCACCACUCUCUCCUUCACGCCGUAUGAUGGCUAAUGGAAUAGUUUUCUUACAAUUUUAAUUUUCUCAGGAUGAGAAGGUCGUCGCGUUUCAAGACAUCAAGCCCGCCGCUCAGAGGUUUUGUCUUUGUUCUCUCGCUUUAAUUGUAUUGAUUUAUGCUUAUUUAUAGUAUCAAGGUUAAAACUCUGAUUCAGGCACUACCUGAUCAUUCCAGUAGAACACAUUCCAACAGUGGGAGACCUUCAGAGAAGAGAUGAAGACUACUCAUUGGGUUGGUUUCACCCAAAACAAAAUACAUCAGUUUCUCUUCUUGUAUUCUUUAUGUAUAAAGGAUUGUUCGUUUUUAUGAGCAGUAAGUUGCAUGCUAAGUGUUGGAAAAGAAUUGUUGCAUAAAGAUGCACCUCAAACCUUACAUAGGUUAAUCGUCUUGGUUACAAACACUAAAAUGAAAUAAAUUAUGAAUUUCGAGUAAGGCUUUUUCUUGUGGUAGCAUUAACCUCAUCUGUACUUGCUCGCAGAUUUGGUUUUCACCAGCCACCUUUUAACAGUGUUGAUCAUCUCCAUCUCCAUUGUUUUGCACUACCUUUUCUGCCCAGAUGGAAAGCUAUCAAGUACAAGUCUUGGGACCUUUUGGUGGUUUAAUUGAAGCAGAGACACUGCUGGCGAAGAUAAGGCCUCUUCAUUCAAAGGUGUAACUGAACCUGACUCACCUAACUUCAUUGCUUGGUGCUUCUCUUAGCUAAGAUUGUGCUUCUAUAUUUCUUUUGCUGGCAAAAUCUGUUAUGGAAUGCCAAAGUAUUAUUGUGGAUUAUAUAUGCUAAGUUGCAGUACCUUUAGCGUCUUUGGAUGAUAUCGUGUCUAUGGGACUUGUGUUUCUAUGAUAGGUUCUCUUAGAUCAAGUACAAAUAAACUAUUUGUUAUGGUGUAACAUUCUGGUAAAGUUUAAAAGGAACUACUGGAACUCAAGAAUAUGGGCCUAACAAACAACAAAGCUUCUUACUGUUGUUAUGUCUUCAGUAUUGAAAAUUCUUGAUUUGCCAUUGUUUUGAAGGAUUUAGCCCCACAAAUUAUAAGUUUUUUUGGAUGGAUCUUUGUUUGGUACUUGCUCUGUUUUUUUAGUUAUAAGUUCUGUACAGGACAGCAUAUACACAAUCAUCAACGCUUCUCACUUUCCUGAAUUUUGUAAUGCCGUUUGAACAAAGUUUCAAGCGAUCAUGCUGUUAUUAUUUGAUAAAGCAGAGAACUUUUACAAUAAAAUAUCGGUUUCUUUUGUUGA